UAGCCGUAAACGAUACUCGCUAGGUGUCGGCCACGGUGCGACCGUUGUCGGUGCCGUAGGGAAGCCGUGAAGCGAGCCACCUGGGAAGCACGGCCGCAAGGCUGAAACUUAAAGGAAUUGGCGGGGGAGCACAACAACGGGUGGAGCUUGCGGUUUAAUUGGAUUCAACGCCGGAAAUCUUACCGGGACCGACAGCAACAUGAAGGCCAAGCUGAAGACUUUGCCGGAUUAGCUGAGAGGAGGUGCAUGGCGUAGUCCGUGU
rnacentral:rRNA from 1 species